UAUGGUCAAGUGAAUAAGCGCAUACGGUGGAUGCCUUGGCAGUCAGAGGCGAUGAAAGACGUGGUAGCCUGCGAUAAGCGUUGGGGAGGUGGCAAACGACCUUUGAUCCAGCGAUCUCUGAAUGGGGAAACCCACCUGGCACAAGCCAGGUAUCACACACUCAAUACAUAGGUGUGUGAGGCGAACCGGGGGAACUGAAACAUCUAAGUACCCCGAGGAAAAGAAAUCAACCGAGAUUCCCCAAGUAGUGGCGAGCGAACGGGGAGCAGCCCUUAAGCGGUUUUGAGUUUAGUGGAACACUCUGGAAAGUGUGGCCAUAGUGGGUGAUAGCCCCGUACACGAAAGACUCAUAGCCGUGAAAUCGAGUAGGUCGGCGCACGUGAAACGUUGACUGAACAUGGGGGGACCAUCCUCCAAGGCUAAAUACUCCUGACUGACCGAUAGUGAACCAGUACCGUGAGGGAAAGGCGAAAAGAACCCCUGUGAGGGGAGUGAAAUAGAACCUGAAACCGUAUGCGUACAAGCAGUGGGAGCCGACUUGUUCGGUGACUGCGUACCUUUUGUAUAAUGGGUCAGCGACUUAUAUUCAGUGGCGAGCUUAACCGUCUAGGGGAGGCGUAGGGAAACCGAGUCUUAAUAGGGCGUUUAGUCGCUGGGUAUAGACCCGAAACCGGGCGAUCUAUCCAUGAGCAGGUUGAAGGUGCCGUAACAGGCACUGGAGGACCGAACCCACUCCCGUUGAAAAGGUAGGGGAUGACUUGUGGAUAGGAGUGAAAGGCUAAUCAAGCUCGGAGAUAGCUGGUUCUCCUCGAAAGCUAUUUAGGUAGCGCCUCGUGUAUCACCACCGGGGGUAGAGCACUGUUUGGGCUAGGGGGUCAUCCCGACUUACCAACCCCAUGCAAACUCCGAAUACCGGUGAGUGCGAGCACGGGAGACACACGGCGGGUGCUAACGUCCGUCGUGAAAAGGGAAACAACCCAGACCGUCAGCUAAGGUCCCAAAGUCAUGGUUAAGUGGGAAACGAUGUGGGAAGGCUUAGACAGCUAGGAGGUUGGCUUAGAAGCAGCCAUCCUUUAAAGAAAGCGUAAUAGCUCACUAGUCGAGUCGGCCUGCGCGGAAGAUGUAACGGGGCUAAACCAUGCACCGAAGCUACGGGU
rnacentral:rRNA from 2 species